UGGGGAAUAUUGGACAAUGGGCGCAAGCCUGAUCCAGCCAUGCCGCGUGAGUGAUGAAGGCCCUAGGGUUGUAAAGCUCUUUUGUGCGGGAAGAUAAUGACGGUACCGCAAGAAUAAGCCCCGGCUAACUUCGUGCCAGCAGCCGCGGUAAUACGAAGGGGGCUAGCGUUGCUCGGAAUCACUGGGCGUAAAGGGUGCGUAGGCGGGUUUCUAAGUCAGAGGUGAAAGCCUGGAGCUCAACUCCAGAACUGCCUUUGAUACUGGAAGUCUUGAGUUCGGGAGAGGUGAGUGGAACUGCGAGUGUAGAGGUGAAAUUCGUAGAUAUUCGCAAGAACACCAGUGGCGAAGGCGGCUCACUGGCCCGAUACUGACGCUGAGGCACGAAAGCGUGGGGAGCAA
rnacentral:rRNA from 1 species